rnacentral:rRNA from 1 species
GUCUACAACCAUGCCACCCUGAACAAGCCUGAUCCUGUCUGAUUUCGGAAGCUAAGCAGGAUCGGGCCUAUUAGUACUUGGAUGGGAGACAACCUGGGAGGAAUACCAGGUGCUGUGGGCG